AAGCUACAUAGAUAGGAUUUUGUAAUUUCAUUUAUGUUUUUUUUGAACUGGUAAUUUUCAUUUUGAUGUAAUGACAGAGCCACGGACCGGAAUCUCGACGGGACCUCACUCGACUUUCCAACUUAGUAUUGUCCAUCUUCUUCCAAUCCUUUAAGAUACCUGUGAUUUGACUCUCUCAUAACUUGGGUAGGUAGGAUGUCCUAUGUCAAGACUCGGUUGUCCUUCUUCCUUCUAUUUCUUUCUUUGAAUAAUAGUCCGGUCAAAAUUUGGUCUCGUUGUCUAUUUUUUUGUCUGAAAACACUUUAUGUUUACACCCAAGAAGGGGCAUGAUGUAGACACCUAAUUUUGUCCCUCUCGAAACCCAUUUUAUUCAUUUUUCCCUCACAUUAUCAUACACCCUCACCCAUGUGAUUAUUUCUCACAAAAAUACAAAAAAAAAAAAAUAACAAAUGUCUAACCAACCUAAUCCUCAAGAUUCUCUUAAUAACAAAUUAACAAUCCACCCUAUUAAAAGUAUACAAUACAUCACCUACCCCAUACCCCUACCGACGUAACCCAACCACCAACCCUACCCUAUUUUUUUCACGUGUUUUUUAUCAAUACCACAUUUCCUAUUUUUCGAUUGAGAUAGACAGAUAAAGAAAGUGGGGCCCACAGAUUUUCUCCAUCAUCAUCAUCCAUAUGCCCUCACAGCAAAGAGGAUUAUUCACACAUGUCCCCAUUCUCCAUGAACAACAACGUCUACAAAAUCCUCACUCACCUUCACUGAAUGGACACAUAAAAAAAACCAUACACAUGGAGAGAGAGAGAGUAACAAAGAGAGAGUAGCACAGAGAGAGAAGAUCGAGCAGGAGAAGGUUCAAAUCAAUUCGGAUCCUUACUUAUCAA